rnacentral:Y_RNA from 8 species
GGUUGGUCCGAGUGCAGUGGUGUUUACAACUAAUUGAUCACAACCAGUUACAGAUUUCUUUGUUCCUUCUCCACUCCCACUGCUUCACUUGACCAGCCUUUU